rnacentral:rRNA from 1 species
CGCGUAGGUGGUUUGUUAAGUUGGAUGUGAAAUCCCCGGGCUCAACCCCGGAAUUGCAUUUGAAACUGUAAUACUUGAGUACUGGAGAGGUAAGUGGAAUUCCUAGUGUAGCGGUGAAAUGCGUAGAUAUUAGGAGGAACACCAGUGGCGAAGGCGACUUACUGGACAGAUACUGACGCUGAGGCGCGAAAGCGUGGGGAGCAAACAGGAUUAGAUACCCCCGUA